rnacentral:rRNA from 1 species
UACGGAGGGUGCAAGCGUUGUCCGGAAUUACUGGGCUUAAAGGGUACGUAGGCGGCGCUGUCAGUCGGGUGUGAAAUCCCAGGGCUCAACCCUGGAACUGCGCCCGAUACUGCAGUGCUUGAGGGAGACAGAGGUAAGCGGAACUGAUGGUGGAGCGGUGAAAUGCGUUGAUAUCAUCAGGAACACCAGUGGCGAAAGCGGCUUACUGGGUCUCUUCUGACGCUGAGGUACGAAAGCCAGGGGAGCGAAGGGG